rnacentral:lncRNA from 1 species
UCAAAGUGGAGGGCGAAAUAGUGACCCGCGAAUAACAUGGGGACCAAUUGGGAAAUAUCCCGCUUCCCCAAAACGCAACACUUCGUUGCGGAUCAAAUCGAAACAAAAAUGAAAUAAAAGAUUAAAUUUAAAAGAAAAUAAAAUAAGAAAAAGAACUGGAUUGAAAUGCAUUUGAAAAACGGAGGGACCAGGGUUGUAAAUAACCCAUUAAUC